GCCACAGCGGGAAGCCAGGCGGCGACGCCGAGCGGAACCCGAAAAGCCGUCUCAGUUCGGACUGGAGUCUGCAACCCGACUCCAUGAAGCUGGAUUCGCUAGUAAUCGCGCAUCAGCCACGGCGCGGUGAAUACGUUCCCGGGCCUUGUACACACCGCCCGUCAAGCCAUGGGAGCCGGGAGUGCCUGGAGUACGUGACCGCAAGGAGCGUCCUAGGGUAAGACCGGUGACUGGGGCUAAGUCGUAACAAGGUAUC
rnacentral:rRNA from 1 species